GAUGAAGAACGCAGCGAAAUGCGAUAAGUAAUGUGAAUUGCAGAAUUCAGUGAAUCAUCGAAUCUUUGAACGCACAUUGCGCCCCCCAGUAUUCUGGCUGGCAUGCCUGUUCGAGCGUCAUUUCAACCAUCAAGCCCUGCUUGUGUUGGGGUCCUGCGGCUGCCCGCAGGCCCUGAAAACCAGUGGCGGGCUCGCUAGUCACACCGAGCGCAGUAGCACAUCUCGCUCAGGGCGUGCGGCGGGCUCCAGCCGUUAAAGCACCCACCUUUCGCAAGGUUGACCUCGGAUCAGGUAGGAAUACCCGCUGAACUUAAGCAUAUCAAUAAGCGGAGGA
rnacentral:misc_RNA from 1 species